GUCAAUAGAGCAGUCAUAUGGUCUUGAAGGAGGGAGCUUAGAAGCUUCUGUUUCACUAAAGACAUCACUGAAUUCCAUGUAAUGAUCAGGGAUAAUAGUGGACAUAGAACCGAUUUGAUAAUUUUUCAUACAGGUGGAAGUACAGUAUUCCGAAUUAAAAGUAAAGGUAUUUAAGGACCAAUUGAUUUGAGGGUUGUGCUUUUUCAGCCAAGGGAGGCUCAAAACAGUGUCAAACAGAG